ACUUGGCUGAAAAGCCAAUGGUGCGAAGCUACCAUCUGUUGGAUUAUGACUGAACGCCUCUAAGUCAGAAUCCUUGCUAGAACGCAACGAUAAUUACCUCCGGAGAAUCUUAGGCGAACAAGGAUAGAGAACGGGCUUGCCCGCUCUCCUGCGUCCCAAUGUACCAAGAGGGAAAACAACCCUCAAGGCACUAAAGUAUAUCAAAGUUUAAAAUUUCUGGAGAUAAAUCCUUUGCAGACGACUUAAAUAAAGAACGGGGUAUUGUACGUUGUAGAGUAGCCUUGUUGCUACGAUCUUCUGAGAUUAAGCCUUUGUUCUACGAUUUGU
rnacentral:ncRNA from 1 species